AUUCCAUUAUGUUGACACUUUCUCACUAUCUCCUUGAAUCUAUCCCAAGCUUCGAAGACUGUUUCAGUUUCCUUCUAGCAGAAGUUAUGGAUUUCCCUUCUGAAUUU
rnacentral:snoRNA from 1 species